GCCCCCUGCAACAUUUCACUGAAAUUUCUCUGCAAACUUCGUUCUGUGCAUGCGUGGUCAAUCCACCCCUGAUUAGAGAUAAAUUCCUCAAAGAGUAUGGCGCAAUAAUGUCAUAAAAUAUGCGUUGACUGACAGAGGGGGGUAUUACCCAACAUAAUAAUACAUUUUUUCUCAAUCUCAGAAAGGCAAAAUGCUGGCACAACUAAAUAUCUAAU